rnacentral:rRNA from 1 species
UACGUAGGGGGCAAGCGUUGUCCGGAUUUAUUGGGCGUAAAGAGCGUGUAGGCGGCUUUGCAAGUCCGUUGUGAAAACUCGAGGCUCAACCUCGAGACGCCGGUGGAAACUGCAAAGCUAGAGUCCGGAAGAGGAGAUUGGAAUUCCCGGUGUAGCGGUGAAAUGCGCAGAUAUCGGGAAGAACACCCGUGGCGAAGGCGGUUCUCUGGGACGGUACUGACGCUGAGACGCGAAAGCGUGGGGAGCGAACAGG